UACAGAGGUCUCAAGCGUUGUUCGGAUUCAUUGGGCGUAAAGGGCGCGUAGGCGGCGAGGUAAGUCUGGUGUGAAAUCUAGGAGCUCAACUCCUAAACUGCACUGGAUACUGCUUUGCUUGAGGACUGGAGAGGAGAUUGGAAUUCACGGUGUAGCAGUGAAAUGCGUAGAUAUCGUGAGGAAGACCAGUGGCGAAGGCGGGAUCUCUGGACAGUUCCUGACGCUGAGGCGCGAAGGCCAGGGGAGCAAACGGG
rnacentral:rRNA from 1 species